UAGAUAAGGUUUGAAGAUAGAUAGAUAGAUAGAUAAGGUUUGAAGAUAGAUAGAUAGAUAGAUAGAUAAGGUUUGAAGAUAGAUAGAUAGAUAAGGUUUGAAGAUAGAUAGAUAGAUAGAUAAGGUUUGAAGAUAGAUAGAUAGAUAAGGUUUGAAGAUAGAUAGAUAGAUAGAUAGAUAAGGUUUGAAGAUAGAUAGAUAGAUAGAUAAGGUUUGAAGAUAGAUAGAUAGAUAGAUAGAUAGAUGAGGUUUGAAGAUAGAUAGAUAGAUAGAUAGAUAGAUAGAUGAGGUUUGAAGAUAGAUAGAUAGAUAGAUAGACAGAUAGAUAAAGGUUUGAAGAUAGAUAGACAGAUAGAUAGAUAAGGUUUGAAGAUAGAUAGAUAGAUAGAUAAGGUUUGAAGAUAGAUAGAUAGAUAGAUAGAUAGAUAAGGUUUGAAGAUAGAUAGAUAGAUAAGGUUUGAA